CUACCGGCGUCGAGAGGCGUCGGGAAGGGUUGGCAGGAGUCAGCAGAGGCCGUAUUAGCCGCUGGCAACCGCAGCGACGAAGGGC
rfam:Burkholderiales bacterium 68-12 scnpilot_p_inoc_scaffold_958, whole genome shotgun sequence.